rnacentral:rRNA from 1 species
AUUGAACGCUAGCGGCAUGCCUUACACAUGCAAGUCGAACGGCAGCGGGGGAGCUUGCUCCCGCCGGCGAGUGGCGAACGGGUGAGUAAUACACCGGAACGCACCCAGUAGCGGGGGAUAGCCCGGCGAAAGCCGGAUUAAUACCGCAUACGCCCUACGGGGGAAAGGGGGGGAUCGCACGACCUCUCACUACUCGAGCGGCCGAUGGCUGAUUAGCUAGGUGGUGGGGUAAAGGCCUACCAAGGCGACGAUCAGUAGCUGGUAUGAGAGGACGACCAGCCACACUGGGACUGAGACACGACCCAGACUCCAACGGGAGGCAGCAGUGGGGAAUUUUGGACAAUGGGCGAAAGCCUGAUCCAGCAAGGCCGCGUGUGCGAAGAAGGCCUUCGGGUUGUAAAGCACUUUUGUCAGGGAAGAAAUCGUUUGGGUUAAUACCCCGAGCAGUUGACGGUACCGGAAGAAUAAGCACCGGCUAACUACGUGCCAGCCGCCGCCGUAA